rnacentral:rRNA from 1 species
AUUGAACGCUGGCGGCAGGCUUAACACAUGCAAGUCGAGCGAGCGGCGGACGGGUGAGUAAUGUCUGGGAAACUGCCUGAUGGAGGGGGAUAACUACUGGACACGGUAGCUAAUACAGCAUACCAUCAGAUGUGCCCAGAUGGGAUUAGCUAGUAGGUGGGGUAAUGGCUCACCUAGGCGACGAUCCCUAGCUGGUCUGAGCGGAUGACCAGCCACACUGGCACUGAGACAUGGUCCAGACUCCUACGGGAGGCAGCAGUGGGGAAUAUUGCACUAUGGGCGCAAGCCGGAUGCAGCCAUGCCGCGUGAAUGAAGAAGGCCUUCGGUUUGUAAAGUUCUUUCGGUAGCGAGGCGUUAACUACAGAAGAAGCACCGGCUAACUCCGUGCCAGCAGCCGCGGUAAUUC